rnacentral:misc_RNA from 1 species
GAAAUUUUCAAUAAUCAUAGUAUUCUUUUGUAUAUAUAUUUCCAUGUGAUACAAAUGAUAAUUAUAAGAAAUAUUACAUUUAAACAUUGUUUAACAUGUAACACUAAUCCUCCAAAGCUCAUUGGAUCUCGGUUGCUCUUAUUAUAAUAUAUAUGGGUAAUGCACCCAUCACUGUAAUCCAUAUAGAGUACGAAUUCCUUGAACAUCAUCAGUACUCAAAUCCCUUUUGGUAAUCCCAUAACUGAAGGUUGAAUACAUGAUAGCUUUUGGGUCUUCACUAUGGUCCAGACCCAAAAGAUGUCCUAUUUCAUGAACUGCAACUGAUUCUAGGUCAACCUCAUUAGGUCCAGGAUUCGCACUCCAAAUUUCAUCUCCAUCAAAAUGACACCUUCCAUUAGUUGGUGCAGUUGCAUGUGCUAAAGUCCCUGACCAUCCAUCGAAAGGGUUCCCAUCUCCAUGGAACCUUCUGUGGAAUCCGAUCUCUAUUUCUGCCUCAGAAUUGGCAGCAACUUCCUCGAAUGUGAAGCGGGUAACUUGUGCCCAUCUCUGAAAAGCUUGUGCACAUAUAGACCUGAAGUUCUCUGCUCCAGGGACUUGGACACUAGAACGAAACCUGUAUCUUAAAUGGCUUCUCUCUGGAGGCCAUCUUCGGGGUCCAGGGAAGAAAUUGUAAUGGGCUACUGAGUGGAUGGAUUUGGGAUUAUGGUAGUGAUUAUUUGUGCCAUUUUUUACAACAUCUGGCACCCCACAUCUAGGCUUCAUCAUCUGAGACACUGUGCUAUUGUCCAGGACUCCAGUGGCAUUCAGGUGAUAAUUGUGCUGGUAAUCCUUGAUUGCUGCCUCUAAAAGAUCAUUGAACUCAUCGUCAUUUGCAUGGUUGUUGCUACUAUUUUUAGCAUACUUUAAGUACCCAAACCUCUCAAGAUAACGUUUAAGGUCUUUGAGCCCACUUAUGGAUUCACCCUUGUGGCAUCCCUCUAGGUGUUGGAUGAAACCAAAAGGAUCUCCAUUUGGUUUUGAUUGGAUGGUGUUUGGCAGGUGCAUCAAGAAGAGGAGCAAAAUGGCACCCAAAAGUGGGAAGGUUUUAGGAACCAUCAGAUCGAAAUGGUCAAAUUCUAGCACUUACUUUCAAUUGAGGUUGGAAAUUAGUGCUUAUGUUUGGUGGGUAUCAAUGGAGUUUUUGUG